rnacentral:rRNA from 1 species
GGUGUAGGCGGUUUUUUAAGUCAGAAAGUGAAAGCCCUGGGCUCAACCCAGGAAGUGCUUUUGAUACUAUUUAACUUGAGUAUGGGAGAGGAAAGCAGAAUUCCAGGUGUAGUGGUGAAAUACGUAGAUAUCUGGAGGAACACCGGAGGCGAAGGCGGCUUUCUGGCCCAAUACUGACGCUCAGACCCGAAAGCGUGGGUAGCAAACA